CUAUAUUGACCAGCAGAUCCAGGAGGAAGGACUUGAGAUAAUUGGGGUGUCAGAAAAAAAAAUGACAAGUUCAUCCUUCUUGACCGUAGGCUGGACGACUAUCUUGUCUCAACGCAUUUCUAUGCAGGCUACACCGAUGACCUAGUAAACCAGCUGCCACUAAAAGUGAAAGUUAGGCACAUACAAAGACAUGUUCUUGAUAGUAGAAUGCCUGGAUCAUUGAAUCUACUACAGGAUGGGGCAUCCCUAGAUCAUGUAACGAGUGGAAGGCACUCAUGAGUCCAUAGUGAACUAUAUCGCUGCACUGAGACAGUUAACAGUGGGGAACGGAGACAUGAGCCGCGUCCGAAAUCGCAUACUUCCAUACUAUAUAGUAGGCGAAAAACAGUAUGCGAAGCAAGUAGUAUGUCCGAAUUCUCAGUAUUCGAAAAACAGUAGGCGAGAUGUACCCGGAUGGCCUACUACUUCCGGCCGAAUUCCGUAGUAUGCAUAGGAUGGACACUUCUCUAUCCCAUGAGGCACCGGGAGAGGGCUCGUCAUACUCAUAUUCGAAAAUAACGGAAAAUCGGAGGAUCGUGACGCCGCUGUUUUGAAGUAGACUGAUGAACACAAUCUUGUUCUCAUCCACUGAUGAAACCCUAUUCACUGGAAAGCAUAAUUCAGUAAUCUGCUCUUGAAGAGCUGCACACGGUCGUCUGGUGUGACACAGCUGUGGUCCGUUUGUCCCGCACAUGCUCUUCUGUGCUGACUUCUGUGUUUUGGGGUUCCAGUGUAUCAUCGUCAUGAUCCUCCACAACUUCUGGAUCAGCAAUGUCCUCAUUCAGAAGACGGAGGUUGUGGAGCACUGCACAGCAUGCAACAACAUCUGCACAAAGCAGAACUCACUUCCAGGGCCUUGAAGAAGAAGAUGGAGCACAGCUGGUCUUCAUCAUCUGAUGGCUCUCUCAACAAUGUUCUGUGCACGAGCAUCAUUGGUGUUGAAUCAAAGCUGUGCAGGAUUGUGUUCAGACUCUCUGUCUGCUGUGAUGAGGCAGAUGAACACUCACACAAGGAUACCCACCAUCUCCCAGGAUGUGUUUUCCUGCAGGUGGAUAGGCCUCCAGUGUUCUUCAGCACCCUGGCAUCAUACACAGACCCGGGAUACUCAACAAAGAUAUCAAGGUACUUACCAUGGUGGUGACCUGCAGCUGAACAGAAUGAAACCACUUCCUGUUGAAAUAACAUUGGGCUUCACUUGCUGGAGGUUCAGUUUGUAUGUGACAGCAAUCUAUUGUUCCAGCUACCAGAAGAAAAGCUGCUUCCACUGCCUCCAGGUCAUCUGUGGUGGAGAAGGCAAUCAGCCUCCUCAAAAUCCCCAUGACAGACCUGCUCAUUCUGUGCACAAUGUUAUGCAGCUCUUGGAUAUCGAAGGCCAGUGACAGCAGCCUGUAUGAUGCUGUUCACAGUCUGUAAAUAUGUAGUUUUUGUUUUUUAGAAUAAAAUUUCAAUAGGUUACACAUUUUUUUGCUGAUAUAUCUAUAUCUAACUAUAUAUAUUUAUAUAUGUGUGUAUAUUGUCUAUAAUGUAUAUAUUAUGUAUGUAUUUAUGUAUAUAUUGUGAUGUGUGUAUUUAUGUAUAUAUGUGUGUGUGUGUGUAUUUGCCUAAGCAUUCAUUCAAGUUUAUUAAUUUAUGUUCGUUUUGUGUAAUUUUAUUUGUAUUUAUUUAUUACAAUAAAUUACUUUAUAUCCUUACAUAAAAUCAGUCUGUCAUUCUGUUCACAGCUGUAGCUGCUGUUAUUCUGAGGUAGAAAAUUAAAAGCUAAAUUUAUAUUUAGUAAAGGAUUUACAAGCUGUCAACGAAGGCAUGAUCUGCGAACAGCUGACCGACGCCUGCUUUGAAUUGUUAAUUCAAACGACAUAAAAACGCAGACGAAAGCGGUAAGAAAAACGAAAAACAUCACCGAUGUUCGCUCAGUAGAUUGGGCUCUUUAAAUUUACGCGCUGUUGUGACGACGUAUGUCACCUGACAAUGUCAACAUGGCGGAUGUAGUACGUCCGAAUUCCAUUCAUACUACCCACAUUCAUACUAUAUAGAACGUACUUUUCUAACGGUCGAGUAGUAUGUUCAAAUUCAAAUGUAGUACCCAGUACGCAGUAUUCGAUUUC